AGUGAACGCUGGCGGUAGGCCUAACACAUGCAAGUCGAACGGCAGCACAGUAAGAGCUUGCUCUUACGGGUGGCGAGUGGCGGACGGGUGAGGAAUACAUCGGAAUCUACUUUUUCGUGGGGGAUAACGUAGGGAAACUUACGCUAAUACAGCAUACGACCUACGGGUGAAAGCAGGGGAUCUUCGGGCCUUGCGCGAUUGAAUGAGCCGAUGUCGGAUUAGCUAGUUGGCGGGGUAAAGGCCCACCAAGGCGACGAUCCGUAGCUGGUAUGAGAGGAUGAUCAGCCACACUGGAACUGAGACACGGUCCAGACUCCUACGGGAGGCAGCAGUGGGGAAUAUUGGACAAUGGGCGCAAGCCUGAUCCAGCCAUACCGCGUGGGUGAAGAAGGCCUUCGGGUUGUAAAGCCCUUUUGUUGGGAAAGAAAAGCAGCAGGUUAAUACCCCGCUGUUCUGACGGUACCCAAAGAAUAAGCACCGGCUAACUUCGUG
rnacentral:rRNA from 1 species